ensembl:snoRNA Gm23826 predicted gene, 23826
UAUGUCUCCAGAGGCAUUGCAGGUGUGGCCUCUGUGUCACAUGUGCAUCCGUAGGUGGCAGAGAGGAGAGAAGCUAUGUUCUGACCUAUGAACAUCUGAAAUAUUAGUAACCUAACAUU